UACGUAGAUGGCUAUUCAAGUUAGUGGUGAAAUUCCGGGGCUUAACUCCGGCGCUACCACUAAGACUGUUUAGCUUGAGUGCAGGAGGGGUAAGUGGAAUUCCUAGUGUAGCGGUGGAAUGCGUAGAUAUUCGCAAGAACACCAGUGGCGAAGGCGGCUCACUGGGCCAUUACUGACGCUGAGGCACGAAAGCGUGGGGAGCAAACA
rnacentral:rRNA from 1 species